AUCUGAAGAUGAAAAUGGAUCAUCAAUCCCAAACAAUCCCUUAAACGCUCGAAUAGCGAAGUGCUUGGAUCGAAAGAAUAGCUCUUUAUCUGUGAACAGAAGUGAUUCCAGUGUACAUCCUGCAAGUAAUAAUACUGAAGAGGGAGAUAGAGCCACAAUUACUACGUACCCUCGCUGCUGAUAUGGUUUUGCCUUGUGAAUGGACAAGAUCAGGUACUAGAUGGAUUUGGAUCUUUGACGCUUACAAGUUUAUAUGAAAUAUAUGUGCUUCUGACUAUAACUAGAUAUAGGGUGAAACGAAACAGAAUAAGUUUGAAGAAUUGAGUUUCAUACCAACUCGAUCUCCCUUGUAUGUAUCACUCUUUUUCAGUGUCUAGGAAAUGCUUGUACGAAUAAAAUGUCAUGCAAACU